UAGCUGCGUUAAAUAGCGCGAAUUGCAGACACAUUGAGCGCUAAAAUUUCGAACGCACAUUGCGCCAUCGGGUUCAUUCCCGUUGGCAUGCCUGUUUGAGGGUCAGAUACCCUAUGUUACCGAACUCGCCUCUUAGUUCGGUUUUUCGGAGCGCUACACUUAAUCGGUGUACCGCUCUUAGAUGGAAUAGUUCUUAACCGAACUUGCGUGUGCUUGGAUAUGUGAAUAUCCCGAACGUACGCAGUACUUGAUUAUUAGGUGGCCGGGUUCGCGCCGCUCAUUGCUCGAACUGACAAGCGCCAAUUAAAAAUAAUAAUCUUGUGCAUUCAUCAAUUGACCUCAGAUCAGGCAUGACUACCCGCUGAAUUUAA
rnacentral:misc_RNA from 1 species